rnacentral:tRNA from 1 species
AAGGGUAUAGCUCAAGUGGUAGAGUACAUGCUUAGCAUGCAUGAAAUCCCAGGUUCAAUCCUCAGUACCUCUU